AUUGAACGCUGGCGGCAUGCUUUACACAUGCAAGUCGAACGAGUGGCGAACGGGUGAGUAUAGCAUCGGAACGUGCCAAGUAGUGGGGGAUAACCAAACGAAAGUUUGGCUAAUACCGCGUACUAUUUGAUCGGCCGAUGUGGGAUUAUCUAGUUGGUGGGGUAAUGGCUCACCAAGGCAAUGAUCCGUAGCGGGUAUGAGAGGACGAUCCGCCACACUGGGACUGAGACACGGCCCAGACUCCUACGGGAGGCAGCAGUGGGGAAUUUUGGACAAUGGGGGAAACCCUGAUCCAGCCAUGCCGCGUGUAUGAAGAAGGCCUUCGGGUUGUAAAGUACUUUUGGCAGAGAAGCGGUAUCUGCAGAAUAAGCACCGGCUAACUACGUGCCAGCAGCCGCGGUAAUUC
rnacentral:rRNA from 1 species